AGGAAUGGGGUGAUCGCUCAAUGCUUGCUACCAUCGCCCUUGGUGCUGCACAGUCUCCAUGGGGCGUGGCAAGUGGAGCCAUAGUGGGACACCUAGUUGCCACAUCUGUCGCAGUUCUUGGAGGAGCAUUUCUUGCCAAGUACAUUUCUGAAAAGCUGGUUGGCUACUUGGGAGGAGUCCUAUUUCUUCUUUUUGCUGUAGCAACAUUCUUUGGAUUCUUUUAGUUCCUCGUGACAUAACAGAGUCGAAGG